ACGGACACAGCUCAUCACAGGUAUCGGUGAUGUGGAUGUGACCCCAACUCUGGCACUGUCCCCACUUACAGAGGCACUACGUUCAAGGAGGAACAGAAUGGGCUUUGGUGGGGUGAGGCCAAGAAAGCCUGGAAACCAAAGGUGAAAGAAGUGGGUGGAAACUCUGCGCUGCCGUCCAGGAAGAGAAGUGAGUAAGUCGGCUGCAAUAUUUAACAGCGCCUCCGGCCCCGCCGCCCGCAGAGCCGCCUCGACGGGAGCCGGACGGGAGUCGGAUGGAGACACAGCUGGCUGGAGCCAGGGGAAGCUGACUCGCACUGGCUGCUUGGCUCUGAGAACUGAAUUCCAUAGGCGUUAAAGCCUUCAAAAUGCCCUAUGGAUUCAGUUCUGCAGCUGGGCAGCAACUGAGCCUCAAA